rnacentral:rRNA from 1 species
GACGAACGCUGGCGGCGUGCUUAACACAUGCAAGUCGAGCGGUAAGGCCCUUUCGGGGGUACACGAGCGGCGAACGGGUGAGUAACACGUGGGUGACCUGCCCUUAGCUCUGGGAUAAGCCUGGGAAACUGGGUCUAAUACCGGAUAUGACUCCAUGACGCAUGUUGUGGGGUGGAAAGCCUUGUGCGGCUAGGGAUGGGCCCGCGGCCUAUCAGCUUGUUGGUGGGGUGAUGGCCUACCAAGGCGACGACGGGUAGCCGGCCUGAGAGGGCGACCGGCCACACUGGGACUGAGACACGGCCCGGACUCCUACGGGAGGCAGCAGUGGGGAAUCUUGCGCAAUGGGCGAAAGCCUGACGCAGCGACGCCGCGUGGGGAUGACGGCCUCGU